GUCUCAGGCCGUAUCAGCCUGAAGGCGCCCGAUCUCGUCUGAUCUCGGAAGCUAAGCAGGGUCGGGCCUGGUAGUAUCUUGGAUGGGAGACCACCUGGGAAUCCCGGGGUGCUCGAGGCU
rnacentral:rRNA from 1 species